rnacentral:snRNA from 1 species
GUGCUUGCUUUAGCAGCACAUAUACUAAAACUGGAAUGAUACUGAGAAGAUUAGCAUGGCUUCUGUGCAAGGAUGACACACAAAUUCAGAAGUGUUCCAUAUUUUA